GACAACUUGGCCGAGUGGUUAAGGCGACAGACUUGAAUCAGGCGAUUCAUGAGAUCUGUUGGGUUCGCCCUCACAGGUUCGAAUCCUGUAGUUGUCG
rnacentral:tRNA from 1 species